UUUCAGAAAACACCACAUAUUUGUUCUGCUGCACAUUGCUGCAGCUUCUCCUUUCACGCUGUGUAUUGAGCUCUCGGUUUUAGCUAAAGAGUGAGA